UAGCAGUGAAAAGAAUACCCACAGACAAGGCACGGGUGGUGGGUCACCAAAGGCUGACCUUACCCCAGCAGAGGACAUGGCCUUGGAGCUAAAUAAAGGCAGGCCCGUCUUAGAGGGGAUCCCUGGGGGAAAGAGACGAGCAUAGGUUCCUCCCAAGAUGCCACCCGCUUCAUUCAAGUGCCUGGCAGCACUGUGUUCCUGUUAGAGCCACCAGCACAAGCACCAGACGAUGCUGAUCCAGGUGAAGGCCCCAGUGCAGCAGCAACAGCACAUGAUGGAGACGAUGAUGAGGAGGAGACCAUCUCUCUGGAUUCCAGAAGGCAUGAGGACCCAGAUGCUAUACAGUGGGAAAACCAGCCUGGCAACAUAGUGCGUAUUAAUAAAAGGACACCACAUCCUGCCAAAUUCCAGCUGCGCUAAUUGUAUUGUGUUCACAGAGCUCACAAGCUAUCAGAAAGUUGUAUGGCAACCACCUCCGGCGCCAAAUAGAACCGGCAGACAUAGACAUUCAGUACAAGAAGAAAAAGAUGGAAAAUCUUGCACUGGAGUCCGAAAUAAAAAAGAGGACAAUUAGGAAACUGGACCUUGAAAUAAAAAAACUUGAGAGGGAGCUCCAAGAAGAUGACACAGCUCAAAAUAAAAAUUAGGUAUAUUCUCGUAAAGUCAAGUGAGCCAUGACAUAUGAGCUCUUAUUGUGAGCACACAGGACGGUGGCAUCUUUCUAAGGUUUUUUUAUUUUCCCAGCAAUCAGUACAACCAAGUCAUCGUUAUAAGGCAUCGCCCUCUUUUGCCCACCCCCAGCACCAGGUGUGGCCACUAGCCUAUAUGAAGGCCCAAAAUUGUGUGUUCCUUUCUGCUCUGACAAUGGCAUGCCCAUUCGUGCGAGAUGUGGUGGAUGAAGAAGCACUUGUGCUGAGGAGAGCCUUCAGGCGAGAAAGGGUCUUCAGGGACCGGUUGGACCCACUGGCCUUCCCUGAUGACCAUCUAUAUGAAAGAUACAGGUUUUCUGCAGAUGGCAUCAGGUAUCUAUGCAGACUACUGGGUCCCAGGAUUAAGCACCGCACUGCACGGAGCCAUGCACUGAGUGUGGAGCAAAUGGUUUGUGUGGCCUUGCGCUUUUUUGCUAGUGGAGCCUUCCUGUACUCAGUGGGGGAUGCAGAACAGCUGAACAAGGCCACAAUUUGCCGCACAAUAAGGAGUGUGUGUCUGGCUAUCAAAGCAUUAGCAGAUGUCUUCAUCUCCUUCCCUGGCCACAGAAGACUCUGUGACAUCAAAGAGGAGUUCUAUAGGAUUGCAGGUUUCCCCAAUGUCAUUGGUGCAGUGGACUGCACACACAUAAGGAUAAAAGCCCCUCAGGUGCCCAUGAGGCCGAUUUUGUGAAUAGGAAAUCCUUUCACAGCAUUAAUGUUCAGAUGGUCUGCAAUGCUGACUGUGUGAUCAGCAAUGUUGUGGCAAAAUGGCCUGGCUCAGUCCAUGACUCCAGAAUCUUUCGGGCCUCUGAAAUCUAUCAGUGCCUAUCACAAGGUGAAUUCUCUGGUGUGUUGCUGGGAGACAGGGGUAUGGCUGCCAGCCUUUUCUCCUGACACCUUUCACAGACCCCCAGGAAGCACAGCAGGCCUACAACCAUGCCCAUGCCAGGACCAGGGCCAGAGUUGAAAUGACCUUUGGCCUCCUGAAGGCACGCUUUCACUGCCUUCACAAAUUAAGGGUCAGCCCUGUUAGGGCAUGUGAUAUUACUGUGGCUUGUGCUGUCCUCCACAAUGUGGCCUGCCUGAGGAAGGAGAGGGCCCCCAGAGUGCCACCAGCCAUGGACUGGGACAAUCUGGCAAUCUUCCCUGAUGACGACAGUGGUCGGCUGCUGAGGGACCAAUAUCUGUUGAAUUAUUUUAGUUAGUAUGUGUGCUUUCAAUUUUGGUUAAAUAUGUCCUGCGGUGGCAGAGGAAUUUGGGUUUUUUUGGGUUCGUUUUUUGACGAAUUUGGCCUCUUAUGAUGUUUGUGCGGUAUACUGUGUGUAAUACAAGGCUGCAGGGAGGCUACUGCAUCCAUUCAUUUGUCUGUUCAGUUGAUGUGUAUGGAUUUGUCCUGCAUUUAUUUUAGUGUGCAGACAUGCAGGGUGUGUUAUAUACAGACCUUUGAAUGUGUAUGUAUCAUUUUGUAUAAUAUGCUUGGAUUCUGUGCUUUCCAUCUUGUAGAGUCACUGUGACUUCAGUUUCGGAAGGAGCUGAUGGUUUACCUGCUUUGUUUUGUCCUUAUUCAAUAAAGGAACAUAAUGUUACACAUUGUGUUUUUAUAUUCAUAUGGAAUGUGUAUUUGUUUAUAUGACAGAGUACUAGGGCCACACUGAAGAAAAAGGAUAAAGUCAUACAUUUAUGAGGCUGGUUCUUUCUGCAGAAAAGCUACAUAUUGUUUUUACAGUUUUGAUACUUAUGACAAUGUGAUACUUAAUAUUCUGGCACAUCAGCAUGUCUUUGUUUAUGAAACCAUACUGAAGUACAAUUUCACGAAAUGCCCCACAUCUGUCAUUUUAACAACUGUCCUCCUUUAAAACAACUGGUUACAAUAUUAUGACUUGUGUUUUUUU